CCUACGGGUGGCUGCAGUGGGGAAUAUUGCACAAUGGGGGAAACCCUGAUGCAGCGACGCCGCGUGAGUGAAGAAGUAAUUCGUUACGUAAAGCUCUAUCAACAGGGAAGAAACACUAACCUUACGGUCAGCAGACGGUACAUGCGUAGGAAACCCCGGCUACCUCCGUGCCAGCAGCCGCGGUAAUACGUAGGGGGCGAGCGUUAUCCGGAUUUACUGGGUGUAAAGGGGGCGUAGACGGUGUGCCAAGUCUGGAGUGAAAUGCCGCAGCUUAACUGCGGAACUGCUUUGGAAACUGGCGAACUAGAGUGCGGGAGGGGUAAGCGGAAUUCGUGGUGUAGCGGUGAAAUGCGUAGAUAUUAGGAGGAACACCGGUGGCGAAGGCGGCUUACUGGACCGUAACUGACGUUGAGGCUCGAAAGCGUGGGGAGCAAACAGGAUUAGAUACCCUAGUAGUC
rnacentral:rRNA from 1 species